AACGAACGCUGGCGGCAUGCCUAACACAUGCAAGUCGAACGAGACCUUCGGGUCUAGUGGCGCACGGGUGCGUAACGCGUGGGAACCUGCCCUUAGGUUCGGAAUAACUCCCCGAAAGGGGUGCUAAUACCGGAUAAUGUCUUCGGACCAAAGAUUUAUCUCCUUUGGAUGGGCCCGCGUUGGAUUAGCUAGUCGGUAGGGUAAAAGCCUACCAAGGCGACGAUCCAUAGCUGGUCUGAGAGGAUGAUCAGCCACACUGGGACUGAGACACGGCCCAGACUACUACAGAAAGCAGCAGUGGGGAAUAUUGGACAAUGGGCGAAAGCAUGAUCCAGCAAUGCCGCGUGAGUGAUGAAGGCCUUAGGGUUGGAAAGCUCUUUUACCCGGGAUGAUAAUGACAUUACCGGGAGAAUAAGCUCCGGCUAACUCCGUG
rnacentral:rRNA from 1 species